GUCUGGUUGUAGAAAUUUUAAUAGUGGUGGCCAUCGUGGGGGUGGUGGUGGCAGUUGUGGUCGUGGGAGCCCCGGUAAACGACAGCAGUAACUUUAAAUGUCCUAAGGUAGUGAAAUUCCGUGUCGCAUAAGUAGCGACCUGCACGAAU
rfam:Glycine max cultivar Williams 82 chromosome 3, whole genome shotgun sequence.